rnacentral:misc_RNA from 1 species
AAGUCGUAACAAGGUUUCCGUAGGUGAACCUGCGGAAGGAUCAUUAACAACAUAUCCUAACUAAAAAACCAUAUAAACCAACCAAGACCAGUGUUCAAUGAUCUGUCAGUGUUCAUUGACUGGAAUCAAACGUUCUGUCAGUGUGCGUUUGGUUUGCAAGGGUGGCGCAGUAAACGAUCGCUGGAGGCCGACACGGCCGGCGACCGGGUCAGUGAGCUCUGCUCCCGCUGUUACGUCAAACCCCAUGUUCCCCUCUAGUGAAAGCUAUUGGGUUAUAACUAAACGACUGUUAACAAUGGAUAUCUCGAUUCUC